CUACGGAGGGGGCGAGCGUUGUCCGAAUUUAUUGGGCGUAAAGCGCGUGUAGGCGGGUGAUCAAGCCUGUGGUGAAAGGUUGGGGCUCAACCCCAAGAGUGCCGUGGGGACUGGUCGCCUGGAGGCAGGCAGAGGAGAGCGGAAUUCCUGGUGUGGCGGUGGAAUGCGUAGAGAUCAGGAAGAACACCCGUGGCGAAGGCGGCUCUCUGGGCCUGUCCUGACGCUGAGACGCGAAAGCGUGGGGAGCGAACAGGAUUAGAUACCCUGGUAGUCCACGCUGUAAACGAUGGAUGCUCGGUGUCGGGGGUAUCGACCCCCUCGGCGCCUAAGGUAACCCGGUAAGCAUCCCGCCUGGGGAGUACGGCCGCAAGGUUGAA
rnacentral:rRNA from 1 species